ensembl:scaRNA SCARNA1 small Cajal body-specific RNA 1
AGGCACCUGAUACUGGCCUGGUCGUCUGAAGCUCAGCGCCAUCUGUGCGCUGGACUGUGUCCCGAUGGCUCCCAGGUCCCCAGCGGUGCCAGAGUAAAUGAGCCCUGAGAUUUAAGCACGGUGUGCAAAGUCACACUCUGUGUUAUGCCUCAGAGGCACAAGA